rnacentral:rRNA from 1 species
CCCACAUGAAGUUGGAGUUGCUAGUAAUCGCGAAUCAGCAUGUCGCGGUGAAUACGUUCCCGGGCCUUGUACACACCGCCCGUCACACCAUGAGAGUCGGGAACACCCGAAGUCCGUAGCCUAACCGCAAGGGGGGCGCGGCCGAAGGUGGGUUCGAUAAUUGGGGUGAAGUCGUAACAAGGUAGC